rnacentral:rRNA from 1 species
GUCUAUGGCCAUGCCACCCUGAACAAGCCCGCUGUCUGAUCUCGGAAGCUAAGCAGGGUCGGGCCUGGUUAGUACUUGGAUAGGAAGACCAGGUGCUGUAGGCA